rnacentral:rRNA from 1 species
GUGUCAGCCGCCGCGGUAAUACCCGCGCCCCUAGUGGUGGUCGAUAUUAUUGAGCCUAAAACGUCCGUAGCCGGUCUUCUAAAUCCUUGGGUAAAUCGGGCAGCUUAACUGUCCGAAGUCCGGGGAGACUGGGAGACUUGGGACCGGGAGAGGUCAGAGGUACUUCUGGGGUAGGGGUAAAAUCCUGUAAUCCUGGAAGGACCACCGGUGGCGAAGGCGUCUGACUAGAACGGAUCCGACGGUGAGGGACGAAGCCCUGGGGCGCAAACGGGAUUAGAUACCCCGGUAGUCCAGGGUGUAAACGCUGCGGGCUUGGUGUUGGGGGUCCUUAGUGGGCGCCCAGUGCCGGAGAGAAGUUGUUAAGCCUGCUGCUUGGGGAGUAUGUCCGCAAGGAUGAAACUCAAAGGAAUUGACGG